GGCAACAAUUCUCUUAGCACAUCAGCUCCUGGAAACAAAUGCACUUAACCAGAAAAACAGGGACAUCAACCAGCAAAGAUGCAUCCUCAUUUAAUAGAGCUUGAAAUUACUAUAAUCUGUAAAGUACAGCGAGAAGAAGAAGUUUCACCUGCCUGCACAUCUGUCGUUGACUCUCCAUCUGACUUGGAGGGACUCUGAGGGACCAACCUGAGCCUGAGAAGAGGCAAGAUUCCCCUUCAAGGACACACUGGGAACUUACGGACCUCUUUCUCCAUGGUGCAGAGCGCAGAGGUGAACAAACAGACGCAUAAUAGCUCUUGAGCUUGCCAUUGGGAAGUGAAAAUCAACUGCUUGAAUAAAUGUAAGGACUCAGCUAACCUGAAACAGGUGUGAUGGUUACUUCCAGCCACUGUUGUGGACCAAGGGAAGGCAGAGCUCUGCCUAGUGUUAGGGAGGGAGAAUGUCUGAAGCAGCCUGAUCCCUGAUGUCCUUUAGGCUGUCAUACCGGACCUGUGCAGCAUCCAUCCAGACUUCUACCAUAUUAGAACCAAAUACACUUUUAUCUUAUUUAAACCACUCUUUGUUUUAAAUCUGUCUAUUAAUAGGAAGCCAAACUAAUCCUACCUGAUGCAAGAAAGAGAAUAGAAUUCUAAGAAACCCAUCUUCAUUGGCCAAUAAUUUUCACUUAGCAAGAUAGGUCACAGUAAUUCAUCUUUCCUGGAGUAUUCCAAAUAAAGCAUAAAUUUAGGAAUAAAACUACUGUGAUUGAGGAUUCAAAUUAGUAAUGGAGUGACACUUUGUGUCAAUUUUUGUCAAAUAUAUGUCCUAAGAAAUUGUUUCAUUAGCUAGCUAUUUAAACGAGUGAUAAUAUCUGUACUUAUAUCUGAUUUAUCGUGGUCCUAUGGGCAGCUGUUACUUCUGGAGAAUCUGCUUAGAAGACAAACAAAAAAUAAAAACUAAAGUCUGUUCAC
ensembl:lncRNA LINC00507 long intergenic non-protein coding RNA 507